UCGCAGAACGUCAAGACCAAAAUCCAUCGUCGUUGUCAGAAAACACCCCUCCUUCCGAGUCUCUUCUCUCAAAUUUCUGUAAGAAAAUACAUAAAUGCCUCAAAUACACCUCUCCUCUCCAUCUCUGUCUCCUCUCUCCUGCAAUUCAUGAUGGAAAAUUCCCAAAAAUCCCUCGUCUUUUACCAAAUUUCCGUAUUUACCCUCACAUUCCUUGCCUAUGCCUCCUUCCAUGCGUCCCGCAAACCUCCCUCCAUCGUCAAAUCUGCCCUCACCGCAUCCAACGGCGCAGAUAACUCCACCCAAGCCCAUGAAGGAUGGCCCCCCUUCAAUGGCCCAGAUGGGCCCCACCGCCUCGGUCAGCUUGAUCUUGCCUUCCUCAUAUCCUACUCAAUCUCCAUGUUCUUCUCCGGCCAAGCCGCCGACCGCGUCGACCUCCGCCUUUUCCUCUCCUUCGGCAUGAUCGGCAGUGCCAUCUCCACCGUAGCCUUCGGCCUCGCGUUCUGGUUCAAGAUCCACCGCCUGUUGUUCUUCCUGGCGGUCCAGAUCGUCUGCGGGGUGUUCCAGUCAAUGGGGUGGCCUGCCGUUGUCGCGAUCGUUGGGAACUGGUUUGGGCGAUCGAAGCGGGGGCUCAUCAUGGGCGUCUGGAAUUCGCACACGUCCAUUGGGAACAUCGUCGGAUCUGUCAUCGCAUCGUCGGUUUUGGAAUUUGGGUGGGGAUGGUCGUUUGUCGGGCCGGGGUGUUUGAUUGGGUUGGUGGGCAUUUCCGUUUUCGUUUUCCUUGUCGCGAACCCGGAAGAUGUGGGUUUUGAACUGCCUCGAACUGAGAUUGAGAUGACCUCUGAUGUAAAUAUUGAGAAUGGGGAGAAUCCGGUAAGAAUUGAGGGGGAGGAGGAAGAGGGGUUUCUUGUCUAUGGCCAGUCAUUAGAUUCAACGGCUGCGAUCGGGUUCUUUGAAGCGUGGAGGUUGCCGGGCGUGGCACCCUAUGCUUUCUGCCUGUUCUUCUCAAAGCUUGUGGCAUACACUUUCCUGUAUUGGUUGCCCUUUUACAUCAGCAAGACAGCUGUUUCUGGUAAGUAUUUGUCUCACAAAGAUGCUGGGAUCCUCUCGACAAUAUUCGAUCUUGGGGGUGUACUUGGUGGAAUUUCAGCCGGUUACAUUUCAGAUAAGAUCGAGGCUCGUGCAGUUACUUCAGUUACGUUCUUUUUAUUCUCGAUCCCAGCACUUAUUUUGUACCGAGUUUACGGAAGUGUCUCUAUCUACACCAACAUCGGAUUGAUGUUUCUUUCUGGGUUGUUUGUGAAUGGUCCGUAUUCGCUUAUUACAACAGCUGUUGCAACUGAUCUGGGCACACAGAGUGUGAUCAAAGGGAACUCGCGAGCUUUGGCUACUGUGUCGGCUAUUAUUGAUGGCACUGGUUCUAUUGGGGCAGCUCUUGGGCCAUUACUGACUGGAUAUAUUUUGACCAGGGGAUGGAAUAGUGUCUUUGCGAUGCUUAUUGUUGCGAUUUUUCUUGCGGGUUUGUUCUUGAUUCACCUUGUGAAAGCUGAGAUUAAGAGCAAGAUGAGUGACAUAAGAUAGCAUUAGUGUUAGGUGAUGUUGAUUGUUCUUGUUCGGAGAUGAGUCAUAUCUACAUUAUAUCUGGUAGGGAUGGACUCAUGGCCUUAGAGAAGCUAUUAUGAACUCUCAAGAGUUUCCACAGGUGCUCAUGGCCUUAGAGAAGCUGUUAUAAUCUCUCAAGGUACAAAAAAGAUUCAUUCAAUGGAGCUUUUGCUUACACGACUUUUGGACCAACUUCUGGAAUGUCCUCUGGCUGCCUAACGUGGGUCAUAUUCAACAAUUGGGUUUCAGCUGAUGUGCAGUCGUUGGCUGGUAAAAUCUUUUAUUCUCUCUCUAUUCAUUCAAUGGAGCUUCCUUCCUAUUCAACUGCUCCAACAGCUGCUAAAGCUUCAAUCCUGCUGGGAAAAAAAAUCCAGAAUCUAAAAUCUGCAGUAGACCAUAAAGAAUCUAUUGAAGGGAGAUCAAGAUGGCACAUCUAGAAGAUAGAUGAUUCUGCCAUCUGGGUUUUUAAUCUUCAUCACCAUUCUCUUGAGCAGCAGAGAUGAAUGGUGUUUUGGCUUCAGAUGGUCUUCCUUUAAAGGCAACUUGUUGCUCAAUAACUCUUCUAUUCCUUUAGAGUCUAUAAUGUGUUUAUUCCAUCUUGUCUUUUAGAUAUUUGGGGCUUUCUGAGAUUGGCUUUUGCAGAUGGAUACUUGUUUAUGCUGCAUGUUGUGUUUAUUCGUUCAAUGGACUUUGUGAAUAAAUGAAAUAGGAUAUUCAUCUAAAUAAAUAAAUAAAUUGCAUGUGAUGAGAGUGGCAGCAUGGAACCUUGGAAGCCAGAUUUCAUUUCUGGCAAAGUCAAGGACAUUACUGUUAGGAUAAACACUAUUUUGUUUUCCUUAGUCUCGAAUGAUGUAAAAUGAUAUACUUGUCCUUGGGAAGAGGGGUCAGCCAAAAUUGAUUUGUUCCGGGAUUCUGACCCCAUUGAUUUUAGCUCCUUUAAUAAAAGUUCAAUAACCAAUAUAUAUAUAUAUAUAUAUAU